CAGGUCACUCCUACGGGAGGCAGCAGUGGGGAAUCUUGCGCAAUGGCCGAAAGGCUGACGCAGCGACGCCGCGUGUGGGAUGACGGUCUUCGGAUUGUAAACCACUGUCAGGGGGAACGAAUGCGGGACGUCGAAUAGGCGAUCUCGAGUGACGGUACCUUGAUAAGAAGCACCGGCUAACUACGUGCCAGCAGCCGCGGUAAUACGAAGGGGGCUAGCGUUGCUCGGAAUUACUGGGCGUAAAGCGCACGUAGGCGGCUUUCUAAGUCGGGGGUGAAAUCCUGGAGCUCAACUCCAGAACUGCCUUCGAUACUGGCGAGCUUGAGUCCGGGAGAGGUGAGUGGAACUCCGAGUGUAGAGGUGAAAUUCGUAGAUAUUCGGAAGAACACCAGUGGCGAAGGCGGCUCACUGGCCCGGUACUGACGCUGAGGUGCGAAAGCGUGGGGAGCGAACCGGAUUAGAUACCCGGGUAGUCCACGCCGUAAACGAUGGGCACUAGGUGUGAGGGGUAUUGACCCCCUUCGUGCCGAAGCAAAUGUGUUAAGUGCCCCGCCUGGGGAGUACGCUCGCAAGGGUAAAACUUAAAGGAAUUGACGGGACUCUA
rnacentral:rRNA from 1 species